rnacentral:rRNA from 1 species
AUGCCACAAAUAUACUCUAACCAGCUAGAGGACAUGGGGGCGCAGAGAACUCUCCUCGCGAGCUUCCUGCUCGCCGCGUUGGCCACCCAGGCCUUCAGGCCGGACUGCGUGCCGUCGCUCGUCCCGCACAACUUCCCCGGCCACGGGGGCACCACCGUGCCGCUUCCCUCGCACGGAGGCUCCUCCGGCACGCCGCCUUACCACGGCGGCUCCGGCUCGACUCCGUCGCACAGCGGCUCCGGCUCGUUGCCUGACUCGUCGCAUGGCGGGUACGGGACGCCGCCUUCGCACGGCGGCUCUGGUUCGUUGCCUGACCCGUCGCACAGCGGAGAAGGUUACAGCUACUGGAGGACGCACCCCAUGCAGACCUGGUCGGCGCUGGGGAGCUGGCCGGGCUCGGUGAGCCACUUCUUCGGUGCCGCCGGCGGCCCGAGCGUGAGCAUCAAGGACGCGCUGGCGAACACGAGGACCGACGGCGCCGGUGCACUGCUGCGUGAGGGCACCCCAGCGCUGCUCAACUCCAUGACCCGCCCGGGGUUCGCCUACACCACCCAGCAGGUGAGGGACGUAUUCGCGGCGGCCGCGGCUGGUGGCUUCGACAGUGCCGCGGCGGCGCAGGCGGCGGCGUUCAAGAAGGCCAACGAGGGGAAGAAGGCAUAG